GGUUCAAGUCCUCUAUCCCC
rnacentral:tRNA from 1 species